CAGUAGCCGCGGGAAUACGAAGGGGGCUAGCGUUGCUCGGAAUGACUGGGCGUAAAGGGCGCGUAGGCGGCGAUCAAAGUCAGGCGUGAAAUUCCUGGGCUCAACCUGGGGGCUGCGCUUGAUACUUGGUUGCUUGAGUGGGAAGAGGGUCGUGGAAUUCCCAGUGUAGAGGUGAAAUUCGUAGAUAUUGGGAAGAACACCGGUGGCGAAGGCGGCGACCUGGUCCUUGACUGACGCUGAGGCGCGAAAGCGUGGGGAGCAAACAGGAUUAGAGACCCCCGUAGUCCCUGUCUCUUAUACA
rnacentral:rRNA from 1 species